rnacentral:rRNA from 1 species
UACGUAGGGUGCGAGCGUUAAUUGGAAUUACUGGGCGUAAAGCGUGCGCAGGCGGUUUUGUAAGCCAGAUGUGAAAGCCCCGGGCUUAACCUGGGAAUGGCAUUUGGGACUGCAAGGCUUGAGUGCGGCAGAGGAGACUGGAAUUCCUGGUGUAGCAGUGAAAUGCGUAGAUAUCAGGAGGAAUACCGAUGGCGAAGGCAGGUCUCUGGGCUGACACUGACGCUCAUGCACGAAAGCGUGGGGAGCAAACAGG